GACUGCUCUGGUGGCUAGUGGUUAGAGCAUCUGCCUUAGAUGCAGGAUGUCAAGGGUUGAAACCUUGCAGAGUCA